GUGCAGAGAGAGUGAGGGAGGAGAGAGAGAGAGAGAGAGAGUGAGGGAGAGAGAUGAGGGGAGAGAGAGAGAGAGAGACAGAGAGAGAGAGCGAGCGACUGGCUCUGAGGGCGUUCGGAGAUCCGCUGAUCGGCCCUUUCUGUCCUCUUUUUGUCUCUAUUUUCGGCACGUUGUGUGUGCGAUAAUGGCCCGUCUGUUGCCUCGGUCCGCCUCGGGCCCCGUCGUCGUGACGACCGGGCUGCGUGACGACGGGUGAUGUGCUCGACGACAACAACAACAAGGACCACAACAGGAAUGCCCACGACGUACGCCUCCACGAGACGUUUUAAACACGCGCUCUUUUCUACGACGUUUUAUCAGUAUAGUGUAAAAGAAAUCGAUAUCAUGCGCCCAUUUUAACGAACAAAAAGACGACGAAGAAUACUGUGCCUUUUUUUAGAAAGCCCCUCCCCCUUUUAGCCAAACGACUCAGAGGACCAUCAUGCCUUCUGUUUUUAUUUUAAAAAAGAACUACAAAAUAAAAGCACAACGGACGCAUAAAUACUAUAUUUGAAUAUCUAUGGAAACGAAAAAGAAAUGCUAUAUUUCACUGCCGCCAUUUCAUACCGAUCAUGAAGAAUCCUUUCUAUUUUUGAGUGCUAUAUCUAUAUAUGUAUAGAUAUAGAUAUAGAGAGAGAGAGAUAUAUCUAUUUGACUGGCCGUAUUCUCAGCGGUGUUCUGCAGCCGGGUAUGACAGUAGCUCCUGUAUAUUUUCAUAGUAUUGACACAGCAGGGUCCCUCGUCUCCUGGCUGUUUGUUUCCACGUCCCGGCGCGCCCAGGUGGGUGGGGCAACCGGGCAGGAGUGGUUUAAGUCGACCGCCGGUGGAAACACACAUGGAACAGCUUUCUCCCCUCCUCCCCGACGGCCGUGCUGCUGUCUGGCAGCGGCGAGUGGGGCCCCGCCCUGCUGGCCCAGCCUGGCCGGGCGCUCCGUAGGGUAAAACAAACACGCCUUCGCUCAGGUCUGGGCGGAAAGGGGCGGAGUUGUUAAAGUGUAUGUCCUGGGGUAGGGGGGACACA
ensembl:lncRNA